rnacentral:rRNA from 1 species
CGUGUAGGCGGUUACUUAAGUCGGAUGUGAAAUCCCCGGGCUCAACCUGGGAAUUGCAUUCGAUACUGGGUAGCUAGAGUUUGGUAGAGGUAAGUGGAAUUCCGGGUGUAGCGGUGAAAUGCGUAGAUAUCCGGAGGAACAUCAGUGGCGAAGGCGGCUUACUGGACCAAAACUGACGCUGAGGCUCGAAAGCGUGGGGAGCAAACAGGAUUAGAUACCCUGGUAGUCC